rnacentral:rRNA from 1 species
UUCAGCUAGUUGGUGAGGUAAGGCUCACCAAGGCGUCGACGGGUAGCCGGCCUGAGAGGUGACCGGCCACACUGGGACUGAGACACGGCCCAGACUCCUACGGGAGGCAGCAGUGGGGAAUAUUGCACAAUGGGCGAAAGCCUGAUGCAGCAACGCCGCGUGAGGGAUGACGGCCUUCGGGUUGUAAACCUCUUUUAGCAGGGAAGAAGCGAAAGUGACGGUACCUGCAGAAAAAGCGCCGGCUAACUACGUGCCAGCAGCCGCGGUAAUACGUAGGGCGCAAGCGUUAUCCGGAAUUAUUGGGCGUAAAGAGCUCGUAGGCGGUUUGUCGCGUCUGCUGUGAAAACCCGAGGCUCAACCUCGGGCCUGCAGUGGGUACGGGCAGACUAGAGUGCGGUAGGGGAGAUUGGAAUUCCUGGUGUAGCGGUGGAAUGCGCAGAUAUCAGGAGGAACACCGAUGGCGAAGGCAGAUCUCUGGGCCGUAACUGACGCUGAGGAGCGAAAGGGUGGGGAGCAAACAGGCUUAGAUACCCUGGUAGUCCACCCCGUAAACGUUGGGAACUAGUUGUGGGGUCCAUUCCACGGAUUCCGUGACGCAGCUAACGCAUUAAGUUCCCCGCCUGGGGAGUACGGCCGCAAGGCUAAAACUCAAAGGAAUUGACGGGGACCCGCACAAGCGGCGGAGCAUGCGGAUUAAUUCGAUGCAACGCGAAGAACCUUACCAAGGCUUGACAUAUACGAGAACGGGCCAGAAAUGGUCAACUCUUUGGACACUCGUAAACAGGUGGUGCAUGGUUGUCGUCAGCUCGUGUCGUGAGAUGUUGGGUUAAGUCCCGCAACGAGCGCAACCCUCGUUCUAUGUUGCCAGCACGUAAUGGUGGGAACUCAUGGGAUACUGCCGGGGUCAACUCGGAGGAAGGUGGGGAUGACGUCAAAUCAUCAUGCCCCUUAUGUCUUGGGCUUCACGCAUGCUACAAUGGCCGGUACAAAGGGCUGCAAUACCGCAAGGUGGAGCGAAUCCCAAAAAGCCGGUCCCAGUUCGGAUUGAGGUCUGCAACUCGACCUCAUGAAGUCGGAGUCGCUAGUAAUCGCAGAUCAGCAACGCUGCGGUGAAUACGUUCCCGGGUCUUGUACACACCGCCCGUCAAGUCGAUGAAAAGUCGGGUAACACA